UACGUAGGGGGCUAGCGUUGCUCGGAAUCACUGGGCGUAAAGGGUGCGUAGGCGGGUCUUUAAGUCAGGGGUGAAAUCCUGGAGCUCAACUCCAGAACUGCCUUUGAUACUGAAGAUCUUGAGUUCGGGAGAGGUGAGUGGAACUGCGAGUGUAGAGGUGAAAUUCGUAGAUAUUCGCAAGAACACCAGUGGCGAAGGCGGCUCACUGGCCCGAUACCGACGCUGAGGCACGAAAGCGUGGGGAGCAAACAGGG
rnacentral:rRNA from 1 species